rnacentral:rRNA from 1 species
UACAGAGGGUGCAAGCGUUGUUCGGAAUUAUUGGGCGUAAAGGGUGCGUAGGCGGUCGGGUAAGUCUGAUGUGAAAUCUCACAGCUUAACUGUGAAACUGCAUUGGAUACUAUCCGGCUAGAGGAAUGGAGGGGAGACUGGAAUACUUGGUGUAGCAGUGAAAUGCGUAGAUAUCAAGUGGAACACCAGUGGCGAAGGCGAGUCUCUGGACAUUUCCUGACGCUGAGGCACGAAAGCCAGGGGAGCAAACGGG